UACGAAGGGGGCUAGCGUUGCUCGGAAUCACUGGGCGUAAAGGGUGCGUAGGCGGGUCUUUAAGUCAGGGGUGAAAUCCUGGAGCUCAACUCCAGAACUGCCUUUGAUACUGAGGAUCUUGAGUUCGGGAGAGGUGAGUGGAACUGCGAGUGUAGAGGUGAAAUUCGUAGAUAUUCGCAAGAACACCAGUGGCGAAGGCGGCUACCUGGACCAGCACUGACACUGAGGCACGAAAGCGUGGGGAGCAAACAGG
rnacentral:rRNA from 1 species